rnacentral:rRNA from 1 species
ACCGCAAUAACCUCGGGAAACUGAGGCCAAUAGCGGAUAUAACUCUCAGGCUGGAGUGCCGAGAGUUAGAAACGUUCCGGCGCUGUAGGAUGUGGCUGCGGCCGAUUAGGUAGAUGGUGGGGUAACGGCCCACCAUGCCGAUAAUCGGUACNGGUUGUGAGAGCAAGAACCNGGAGACGGUAUCUGAGACAAGAUACCGGGCCCUACGGGGCGCAGCAGGCGCGAAACCUUUACACUGCACGACAGUGCGAUAGGGGGACUCCGAGUGCGAGGGCAUAUAGCCCUCGCUUUUCUGUACCGUAAGGUGGUACAGGAACAAGGACUGGGCAAGACCGGUGCCAGCCGCCGCGGUAAUACCGGCAGUCCAAGUGAUGGCCGAUAUUAUUGGGCCUAAAGCGUCCGUAGCNNGCNGGACAAGUCCNUUGGGAAAUCGACGCGCUCAACUGGUCGGCGUCCAGNGGAAACUGNNCNGCUUGGGGCCGNNAGACNUGGNGGGGUACGUCCGGGGUAGGAGUGAAAUCCUGUAAUCCUGGACGGACCACCAAUGGGGAAACCACCUNUAGAAAACGGACCCGACAGUGAGGGACGAAAGCUAGGGUCUCGAACCGGAUUAGAUACCCGGGUAGUNCCUNGCUGUAAACAAUGCUCGCUAGGUUUUGCCG